rnacentral:rRNA from 1 species
UCUGGUUGAUCCUGCCAGAGGUUACUGCUAUCGAGGUUCGACUAAGCCAUGCGAGUCGAAUGUAGCAAUACAUGGCGAACUGCUCAGUAACACGUGGACAACCUGCCCUUAGGUUGGGUAUAAACCCGGGAAACUGGGUAUAAUACCCGAUAGGUCUCGAUUGCUGGAAUGCAUCGAGAUUUAAAGCUCCGGCGCCUAAGGAUGGGUCUGCGGCCUAUCAGGUAGUAGUGGGUGUAGCGUACCUACUAGCCUACGACGGGUACGGGUUGUGAGAGCAAGAGCCCGGAGAUGGAUUCUGAGACACGAAUCCAGGCCCUACGGGGUGCAGCAGGCGCGAAAACUUUACAAUGCUGGCAACAGCGAUAAGGGAACCUCGAGUGCCAGGUUACAAAUCUGGCUGUCGAGAUGCCUAAAAAGCAUUUCAUAGCAAGGGCCGGGCAAGACCGGUGCCAGCCGCCGCGGUAACACCGGCGGCUCGAGUGGUAACCGUUAUUAUUGGGUCUAAAGGGUCUGUAGCCGGCCGGAUAAGUCUCUUGAGAAAUCUGGCAGCUUAACUGUCAGGCUUUCAGGAGAUACUGUCUGGCUCGAGGCCGGGAGAGGUGAGAGGUACUUCAGGGGUAGGGGUGAAAUCUUGUAAUCCUUGAAGGACCACCAGUGGCGAAGGCGUCUCACCAGAACGGACCUGACGGCAAGGGACGAAAGCUAGGGGCACGAACCGGAUUUAGAUACCCGGGUAGUCCUAGCCGUAAACGAUACUCGCUAGGUGUCGGCCACGGUGCGACCGUUGUCGGUGCCGUAGGGAAGCCGUGAAGCGAGCCACCUGGGAAGUACGGUCCGCAAGGCUGAAACUUAAAGGAAUUGGCGGGGGAGCAUCACAACGGGUGGAGCUUGCGGUUAAUUUGGAGUCACGC